rnacentral:rRNA from 1 species
AACAUCGCCUCUUGACUUCCAUAAGAGGUCCAGCCUGNNCCAGUGAUACUAUUAANCGGCCGCGGUACCCUGACCGUGCGAAGGUAGCAUAAUAACUUGUUCUUUAAAUGGGGACUAGCAUGAACGGCAUCACGAGGGUCUCACUGUCUCCUUUUUCUAAUCAGUGAAACUGAUCUCCCCGUGAAGAAGCGGGGAUAAAAAUAUAAGACGAGAAGACCCCAUGGAGCUUUAAACCAAAUAGACACCUCUGACUAAUCUAACCCAAAACACUUCUUAAGUUCUGUCUAUUGGUUUUAGGUUGGGGUGACCACGGAGUACAAUAAAUCCUCCAUGACGUACGGAACUUCCCUCUUAUCCUUGAACCACAUUUCUAAGAAUCAACNAAAUUGACGUUUGAUGAUCCAAUAUAUUGAUCAACGGACCAAGUUACCCUGGGGAUAACAGCGCAAUCCAUUUUAAGAGCCCCUAUCGCCAAAUGGGUUUACGACCUCGAUGUUGGAUCAGGGUAUCCUAGUGGUGCAGCCGCUACUAAUGGUUUGUUUGUUCAACAAUUAAAACCCUACGUGAUCUGA